AAAAAUGGAGUCUAGAAACCAUUUAAAAAAACGGGGUGUAUCUAAAAAACCAUAAGAGUAAGAGA
rnacentral:ncRNA from 1 species